UACGAAGGGGGCUAGCGUUGCUCGGAAUCACUGGGCGUAAAGGGUGCGUAGGCGGGUCCUUAAGUCAGGGGUGAAAUCCUGGAGCUCAACUCCAGAACUGCCUUUGGUACUGAAGAUCUUGAGUUCGGGAGAGGUGAGUGGAACUGCGAGUGUAGAGGUGAAAUUCGUAGAUAUUCGCAAGAACACCAGUGGCGAAGGCGGCUCACUGGCCCGAUACUGACGCUGAGACGCGAAAGCGUGGGGAGCGAACAGG
rnacentral:rRNA from 1 species